rnacentral:rRNA from 1 species
AUUGAACGCUGGCGGCAGGCCUAACACAUGCAAGUCGAACGGUAACAGGAAACAGCUUGCUGUUUCGCUGACGAGUGGCGGACGGGUGAGUAAUGUCUGGGAAACUGCCUGAUGGAGGGGGAUAACUACUGGAAACGGUAGCUAAUACCGCAUAACGUCGCAAGACCAAGGAGGGGGACCUUCGGGCCUCUUGCCAUCGGAUGUGCCCAGAUGGGAUUAGCUAGUAGGUGGGGUAACGGCUCACCUAGGCGACGAUCCCUAGCUGGUCUGAGAGGAUGACCAGCCACACUGGAACUGAGACACGGUCCAGACUCCUACGAGAGGCAGCAGUGGGGAAUAUUGCACAAUGGGCGCAAGCCUGAUGCAGCCAUGCCGCGUGUAUGAAGAAGGCCUUCGGGUUGUAAAGUACUUUCAGCGGGGAGGAAGGGAGUAAAGUUAAUACCUUUACUCAUUGACGUUACCCGCAGAAGAAGCACCGGCUAACUCCGUG